CCUCAGGCCAAGUAUUGGCAACUGGGGCAGCAAGUCCUUGGAGCUCCUUGGGUGGGUCUGUCAUGAAAGUGAAGUUUUGUUUUCUUUUUUCCCUUCACUCUCAAAUAAUAUUUAUCAUUAUAUUAACCUGAGAGAUAUGUCGUAAAUACAAAGGAGAGUUUCAUAGCACAUAUGAGUAGAUUAUAAUCCUAUAGCAUAUUAAUAGCCUUGACACUUCUUUGUAAGAAUGUGGUCUGAAGAAAAUGUCAUAUACUAAAUCAUUAGCAAGCAAUUUUAACAUUAAUUUCCUUGCUUUUCUCAGAAGAGAACAAAUAUAAGAUACCCCUAUAAUUUAGAUGCCCCGUUUUAGAUACUGAUUUCAGAAUUAGCUGUCACAGUCUAUGUUUAGAGGGUAAAAUAUAAAAAUUUAAAAUUUAUAGAUGAUAUCUCUGCAUAAUCAUCUUAAUGAGUGUUAUUUUGGAAAUCGUUAAAUGUGUUUUUAUGUGACUAUGUAAUGCUGUCUUCCUCAUCAGUCAAAGAAACCAGUAGAGACAGAAUUGUCAAAUAUUUAUAUCCUACUCAUUCAUCUUGGUGCCAAUCACACAUGGGUGUUCAGCUUAUAUUCUGUAGGGACAGCAGUCAUCAUUUUACAUCAAAGCCCACAAAUAUAAUGUGAAGUUUAACGUAAAUAUUCACAGGUUUAGGUAGUAUUUCCAUGCCUAAGAGCUUCCUGAUAGUCUGCUUUUGGCACUUCAGUGAAGUCCUACUUGUGACAAGUGUGGACAUACAGUAAGUAAGGACAUAGUGAUAUUCAUUUUGAAGGGCUCUAUGAGGGAUACAUUGUGAACUUUACUCAGUUGAUAAGAAUGUCAAAGGAAUUGCUCAUUUUAAAUAGAAAAUGCAGCAUGAGUACAGAGGCUUGCCUAGCAACUCAUUAGGUGUAAACAGUUUCUAUAGGUGUCAUUCAAGGUUCCUAUUUGCAAGAAAUAGAGGUGGACAUGGCUAAUUAAGGAUAAAAGGGGAAAAAAGGAAAAAAAAAAGUGGUUAUUAGUAAAUUCCAACACUUCUAUUGGAGAACAAGGCUUGAGAUUUAACUUCCAGGAACAGUAACCAAAUCUGUGCCACAAAUUUGGUCAGAUAAGGAAAGAACUGAUAACUUCCACUACCUUUGGAAGUGAUUUCUGUGUAAGGAACUUGACCUUGAGAUCUAAUAUAGGGAAUGCUGCAAGAGGCAGAACAGAGAAAAGGAGCUUCCUGUUUUCUGGAAUCAGUCUCUGAGCUGACAUCUGAGUCACAGUCUGGCAUGAGUGUAUCUUCUAGACAGAGCCAAAGUUACUUAUCUCUGCUUCAGAGGAAAAGGAUUAUGGGAAACUGUGUCCCACCUCUGCCUUCAAGCAGAAAUUCUCCCAACCAUUUCCUUAAAUGGUUGUUGAAAAGAUUAGCAUAAGCAGCCACAAACAUGAUUUUAUAACAUCUACUACAAUUGAAUUGUUUUUUUCCUAUGUUCUUAUUUGAAAUAUACCUUCAUCCUACCCUGGUAUGGUAACUUCUGGCUAUCCCAAAAUGAUGUAACAUGCCCACCCUCAGUCCUAGAAUACAGAGUAACCAGGGUACAAAGAUAAUGUGAUAGCUUAAGGAGGAUUUACACACAGUCCUUCUUGGCCCAGUAUGAUACAAGCAGCCACUCUUGUGGGAAAAGAUGUACAUAAUAAGUAAUUGAAUAAAAUAAAUGAAAGAAUGGAAAUGUAUCACAAAAACUAUGCUAUUUAAGAGCAAAGAAAUUAUUUCAGGUAAGCAUGAUACUACUAGGUUACUGACUAUUGUACAGUUUAUAGCCAUAUGUUCUUUUGUUGUUUAGCAUUUAUUAACAGCCAGCAGUCUAGGUAUUGUUAGGCAGAGGCAGGCAUUGUCCCACUUAUCUAUUAUGAUCAUAUUAUAUAGCAGUAUUGAGCUAAAUACUACUCAUCUAUAUCCUUUCUAAAAUGCCUCCACUAUUGGGUUCAUUAGAAAAGGAUUUUCAAUAGCAGAUAAGGAGUUCAGGGACUGUUUAUUAAAACUCAUUCUAAGAAUAGCUUGUGGAAUUUACAAAGCCAAUGCUAUCAAGUAAUUGCACAUGUGCCUAAUACCACAAAGAGUCAAUAAAGUCAAUUAAAUUUUUAUGCAAACAUUCAUAUCUAGUCAUAAAUAAUAUUUUAGGUAGUUUUAUUUCUGAUUGGUUUUUAGGUUUAUUUGAGUGUUCACCUACCUGGUAUUUUGCUCUAGCAAUCAUUGUCAAAUUUGAACCACUUAACAAUUUGUUUUGAAUAGCUUGUAAAGCAUUAAUUGGCACAGGGGUUCUUGAGGUAUUCUUCAAGAUGCUAUUUGUGGCUUAAAGCCUUUGAAAUAUAUUUGAUUUGAUCUUUGGGUGUUUUAUAGCAUAACAUGCUUUCUAUUUAUUAAAAUCCCAUCGAACUAACAAUAAGAAAAGGACAAAGUUAAAACACUUUCUCUUAUAAUAGAACUCGUUCACCUUCAUGAUGUAGCAUAGAUUGAAGAAUAUAAUUUCUUUUGACAAAUUUUCUAGCUUCUUAGUACAAUUUUGAAUUCUACGUUAUAGCCCAGUCUUUUUCACUUUUCUGUCUCACCUCUCUCCUUUCACACAAUGGCACAUGAAUGCAUUUGUGAAAGUAGCAAAAUUCUCUUGGUUAUGUCGUAGAUAAAUAUAGCAAGAUUUUUUCUGUGGGAUUGAAAGGAUAUUUUUCCUUAGUUAAAUGGCUUUGUAUCAAACAUGGUAAAGUGAUUCUCUUCCUGGAGAUUUACAUUUUUUUUUUAAUGCUGUGCUGACAUACAGUACAGUAUAAGGGAUAUAAAAAUUAGCCAUUGAAGAUGAAGAGCUUUUAUUGGUUGGUGUGCCUCUGAUGUAAACACUUCAAGUAAGGUCUCUGCAAACAUUAAAUUUAAUAUGGCACUGCAGCAGAAAAUAUUGUUUUAAAGAUCUGAUUAGAACCACAAACAAAAAAGGCAAAUAAAAAUAUACGUUUCCAACAUCAAAUAAAAGCUGCAACUCUAUUGCCUUUAAAUUUAAAAUAACCACAAAUCAUUAGAUUAUUUAAACCAUCCAAAGCUUGCACUUCAAAGAGCCACACUACAGCUUUAUGUUAUGGGAGCUUCAGUUUCAACGACUCACCCGAGAACUGGAAGUGGAAAGGCAGAUUGUUGCCAGUCAACUAGAAAGAUGUAGGCUUGGAGCAGAAUCACCGAGCAUCGCCAGCACCAGCUCAACUGAGAAGUCAUUUCCUUGGAGAUCAACAGGUAUGAUUUUUUUGUUAUAUAAAAGUAUUUUUAUGUUUUACAUAUACACACAAAAGCAAUUACUUAGCCUGCUCUUUAAUUUACUAUCUACUGGUAAAGUAAGCCAAGCAAAUUCGUUGAUAAUAAUAGUGUUGAACUACUUUGAUUUGAAGUAGUAAUUCUUAAUAUUUGUAACAUAAAAUUUAACAUAAUUGAAUACAUAUGUAUAUGUCAAUUAUAAAAUUAAAGGCUUAUAUAGCACCAUUUUUAAUAUCAACCCUACAUCUAAAAAUUUUAUUUUCAAUCAUAAGGAAACAGAGGAUGACUUUGAGAAUAGGAUAUUGUAUAAUCUGAGAAAGAUGGCAAAUCGUUUAUACAAAUCAGGUCUUUUGUUUCAUAGUAUUUCUCAUACUCAGAGAAAAGUUGUUUGAAAUGUUCAUUUUCUUUGUGUAACCCCAUAUAAAAUAUUUGGUAACUUCUAAUUUGGUCUAAAUAUAGUCUGGCAGGUUUUAACCUCUUUUAUUAUUUUUUUAAUCUUAAAUUCACCACAUACAAAAGGUAAAUUAUCUCUCUAUAUCUUGAAUAUUUGAUGUCUUAUUAAUUUUUAUUGAAUAAAUGUUUAUUGAGCACUCUCAUCAUGCUGGUUACUAUGUCAGAUAGUGAUGGCUUGUGUCUUCCUCUCCUCCUUAAAGAGUAGACCUUGAUAUCUAAACAGUUUGGCAGUUUCCAAACAAUUGCAUUGUGGGAAACUUAGAUCACCAAAUGCCUAGCAUCUCAGUUUAUCUGCAUUUUUUGUUUGUAGUACAUACAAGAUACUCUGCUGUUUUACAAAGAAGUUAGUCCCAAUAUACUGUUUAUUCAAAUUGUUGAUACAGUAGAGACAUGUGAAAAGCUACCUGAGACUUAUAACAGUUUAGCAUAACACAGACCAUGAAAUAAUCCAUGAUUAACUGCCAAAUAAGUAUUGUGUGGGGAACAUUGGUAGAAAUAGACCACUUCUGAAAUAGCUCUGCAAAGACGAUGGGCCUGGAGUGCCCCUGGUCUUCACAGGUGGCCACACUGUGGAGAAGGCAUUGUCACCUCUCAGUAGACAAUAGAAAUAGUAGUGUCAUGUGGGAACUUUUAAAAUUGGUUUGGGAGAUGGUUAGAGGUGCAAAGUGUGAUUGGGUCAGAUUGUAGAAAUUUUAAAUUCCAAGGACCUUGAUUCAGUGAUCAUAAGGAGACCCUGAAACUCUUUUAAGCAAAAUUCACAUAAUUUAAGCAUUCCUUGUGAGAAGCAGAACUAUGAACUGGAGGGAGGAAAAACUGUGAUUAGAAAGAACAAGUGAAAGCUUAUUACAGAAUUUGGUAUGUGAGACCAUGUGGAGGAGGUGAUUCCUCAGGAUAUAGAGGUUGUUUAGUUUGGAGUCGCAUAGACAGUAGUAACAGUCUAUGCAAGUUAGUGGUACCUUUGAAACAACUGGAAGAAUCAGAAUCGAGAGCCAAUUUUACAGGAUGGUCUGGAUGUGUGGAUUUCAGCUAAUGAAAGGAGAGCAAUUUAGAGCAUUCUGCAAACAUUUAUAAAUGUGAUUACUAAAGAAAGCCCUUAACCAAAUGAGAAGAAAAUUACUUCUAUUAAACUGAUGGUUUCUUGUGAAUUGAUACUUUAUUAUGUGGUUCAGACAUAGGUCAGAGUGCUGUAGGUAAGGGACAGCUGAAUUAGAGAGCAAGGCUGAAAUUCAGGGUGUAUGUAGGGAAAAAGCUGCCUCUUUUUCUUCUUUGGAGGUAUUGAGAGAAUGGUCUGAAAUCCUACAGAGCCUGACAGAGGAAGUUAGGUGAGAUGCACAGUUUUUUCAUACUUUGUCAUAGUAUGUAAGAUCAUUGCUGAAGGCAGGAACCAUGUCUUCACUGUUCAACAAAAUGUUCCAAGGGCUUUGUGCAUAGUAGGCCUUAGGCAGUUCACUCAAGUGAAUGAAUACAUGCAUACAUGAAUGCAUAACAAAGUCUGUUUCACCCUGUCAGGAAUAUUUGUGUUAUAUUAGGUUCACAACUAAAUUCUAAUCUCUUAGAAAGUGUCCCUUUUUUUCUUUCUGCCUCAAUGCCUAAAAGACACCCAAUCCUCAGCAUGUAUUAAAGAAAUACUUGAGAUAAAUAAUUUAAUUUAGUAGCAAAAUAUAUAUUUUGGAAGAAGUAUAUACACACAGUUGUAAGCUUUUUUUAAAUUCCCAAGAAGUUUUUUUGGUUUUUAACUUGACUUACAAUGCACUUAAAACUUUUACAGCCUAACAUGACAUUUACCAUAGUAUUUGAGAUCUUUUUAUUGAUAAUUUGACACACGUGAUGCAAAUUUAGUUUGUUUCCCUUAUAUCUUUUUCUAUUUUUCUUUUUAUUAUAAUAACUUUAUUGAGGUAUAAUUCUCAUGCCAUACUGUUACCCAUUUAAACUGAAUACUUCUGUGUUUUUAAUAUAUUUACAGAAAUGCGCAUCAAGUAUCACAAUGAAUUUUAGAACAUUUUCAUUACUCUUAAAAGAAAUCACAUACCAAUUUGAGAUAUUUCUGGUAAAUGGAAUCAUACCACAUGAGUGGCUCCAUUCAUUUAGCAUGAUGUUUUCAGUGUUCCCUCCUAUUAUAGCAUGUAUCGGCAUGUUGUUCCUUUUUAUGGCUAAAUAGUAUUAUGUUGGACAGGUAUAAUACAUUUUCUUUAUCUAUCAAUUGACAAACAUCCAGAUUGUUUCUCUUUGGACUAUUACAAGAAAUGCUGCUAUGAACAUGUUUCCAUUUCUCCUAAGUAUAUAUCUAAUAGUCAAAUUGAUGAUCAGAUGGCAACUCUGUGUUCCUUUUUUUAAGCAGCUACCUGAUUGGUUUUCCAGAGCUACAUCAUUUUACAUUUCCACCAGUAACAUAAGAGUUGUGAUUUCUCUCCACAUCCUCUCCAACAUUUGUUGUUAUCUUUUUCAUUACAGCCAUUCUAAUGAGUGUGAAGUAGUGUCUCGUUAUGGUUUUGAUUUAUAUUUUCCUGAUGGUUGGCAUGCCUUUUUUCCUGUGGUUAAUUUUUAGUUUCAGUUCUUCGAGCAGUGGUAGAGGAGGUCACCAAGCUUGUAUCUUAAUCUUAUCAGCUGCCUUCACUUCAACUUUUUUUAUUUUUUAAAAAUAAUUUUCCUCCUAAUUUUAAAUAUAAUAGAGAGAGAUUGAUUCAUCAAAAGAUAUUUAGAAAAUACAGAAAAGUAUAAAAAGAAUUACUUAAAAAUCAGCCUUAUUAUUAGUCUUUCUGUGCAUAUAAACAUGUUACACAUUUUGGGUUUUUUUUUUUCCUUUUAAGAAAAAUUGAGAAUAUACUGAAUAUACUGUAUAUGCAGUACUUUGCUGCUUUUUUCAUAUGACAUUAUAUCCUAAAUGUCUACCUUUUAAUAUAAAAUUCUUAUAUAAGUUCAUCUUUAAUUCUGCACAAUUUAUCCCAGAAAUACAUCUUGAGAGCCUUAAACAAUCAUAUACACUUACAAAAUAAGUGGGAAAAUAUCAUAGAGGAAAAUUUUAAAUAUGUACCAUAUUUAUGCCUAUCCCUAUUACUGGACUGUUGGGUUGUUUCUGAUUUUUUCACUGUUAUAGAUAACUGGCAAAUAUCCCUAGAUAUAAAACUACUUUGAUUUACCUCAGGCUAGAUUUUUUAAGAAGAAAAUUAUUUAAGUCAUGGCAAUAUUGUUAAGGCUAUUGCUAUAUGUAAUCAUUGCUCUCCUGAAAGAUUGUAUUAAUUUCCCCCCCUUCCAGGUAUAUGAGAUUGAUACUCUGGUAGUCCCUCAUUAGUAUCAUCAAUCGUUAAUUAACUAGAAUAUGUAAAAGUAUCCUACAGAUUGCCCUUUUCUUUUCUGUUGGAGGGUUAGUGUUUGAUUUAUAGGAGUCCUUUGUAGCUCAGGAAGAACAGCUAUGUCUAUCACACAGGGUUUAGUUGGAAAAACAGAACCCAUGCUAAGUAGUUCAACAUGGGAAUUUGAUCCAGAGGACUUAUAACUGGACAGUGUGGGCUGGAAGUUCUGAGAGAUUUACAGGGUGAUAAGCAGCCAAGAAAUUAAAGAUGCCCAGGAACUACCACCAUCCCCACAGCUUAGGCAAAAGGACAAGUGGUUUUGUCAUUCCUGGAAUAGCAGCAGAGUUGGGGGUGGGGGUGGGACAGGGGUAGUUGUCCAACAUUAGCCAGAACUAGGAAGGAGAUACAGUGCCAGCCAGAAAGGCUACCUAAAGUGGAUCUGGAGAAGCAUCUGGCUUCUCCAUGAAGCACUCCUUCUACCCACAGCAAUCUGUGCACUAGCUCCGCUGAGCUGGAGAGGUCAGUUGUAGGUUUUUAACUACCAAAAGCUAGGCAGGCACUGUGUAUAAUUAUGUGUUGGUUUACAGUACAGAGAAAAUGAGCUUUGAUUAUGAAGACAUGUGAUAGGGGCUGAAAUAUCUGGGGCCUUGACAUCCUUUCUACCCACUUGUUGACUAAGCUGCAGUCAUUUGACCAAUAUCUUCAGGAUUUUUGUCAUAGUAAAGUAGCAAUUACACUAUUAUGUGCAUAGUAUAUUCUUUAAAUUACAAAUAACCUUUUUUUGUUUUUUUUUAACUUUUCAUUACUGUAGUAGUCUACAGUCUGCUUACUAAUCUAUUAAAUAUAUAGAAAAUAUAUUUAUUAUACAAGCUUUAAAUAUAUUUUAAAUUAAAUAGGUAGCAAUUAAGUGCUAUACACCUGUCUUGACGUAGUUGUGUCUGCAGUUGGCCCCUGGUAAUUGCAUAUGUUGUUAUUGUUCUCAGGACACAAUCUCCACACUUAGGAAAUACAUUUUCUUUCUUUUCUUUUGAGGGCAAGGGAGAGAGUAUUAUCUUCCAAACAAAGCAAUCACAACUGGUCUUUCCUGAUAUUUUAACUGAAUUGUUAGUUAUGUGUUUUCUUACAUUUGUCUGCUUUUCAGCCAUAGAUACUUAAUGGCAUCUAAAUUGUAACCAUGACAAUACUAUAGUUACAAGGGUAGAAAAAGUGAAAAUUGAUUUUAUGAAUAAAAGAGUAAAUCUGAUUUCUUUCACGUUUCUUUUUCUAGUAGAUAUAAAUGCACUUGACAAGUUAGUGAUUGGGAUAAAAUCACAGUUUUACUGCUACUUCUUACUGUAAAGCUUAUUGUUUUGUGCAUGCAGAGAUAGAAAAUGUUCUAUGAAAAUCAUCUUUGUAUAAAAUGAGGCAGUCCUACUCAGAAUGAGCAGGGGUGGUAUAAAUGGGAAAAAUAAUUAAAUAUUUAAAAGGUCUUCAGUUUACUUUGAUUUGGCUAGCUUUUGACAAAAGCCAUGUCUUUAUUCAUUUUCUUGGUUUCCUAUGUAAGAAAGGACUACACAAAAGGAAUUAGGAUUGAAGAUCUGUUAUUGUUCUCAUUUUUCUUUAUAUUUUGGACAUUUGCUUGCAGACAGUUUCACUGCCUUUUCUUCUCCCAUUUUUAAGGUUUUACAAAUUUGAUUUGAAAAGCUUAAGCCUUUAAAAGCCUUACAGCAAGAAGGCGAAUUGUUAGCAAGGUGCUGGUUUGGUGCCUCCUGCCCCGGAGAGAUCACUGCCUACUCAGGUGUCUUCGAGAUGUUAUAUUCUGUUGAAUGGUGAAAACUGAGCCCAGCUGCUGAAUUUUGUUUUUAAAAAGCUAGCUUACUGCAGCAGCAAUUUGUGAGGAAGAACUUAGAAUGCCUUAGGCAGAGAAGAUUUCCAUUUCUUUAUAAUUCACUUCAGGAGAGUCUAGCUUGCUUGUUUUUUUUGUUGUUGUUGUUGUUUUGUUUUUGUUUUUGUUUUUGUGGAUAGUGAUUGGUUUUAACUUGUGCUAGAGAAGUUAGGCUGUUUGAAAAUAAAAAUCCAAAGUUUUUAAAUAGUUCCUAAAACGUGAAGAAGACCUGCCAGCUCUACCAGACAUUUUUACUUUCUCGGGUCUUGUAUUACUUUCCUAGAAGUAAUAAAAUUGUUUUGAUGCAUUUGUGCUGGAUCAUUAUCUUGCCUUGUGCCUUCUCUCUCUUCCUUAUUCUGCAUUUUCUAGCUUACCUGUGUCACAUAUUUGCUUUAUAAAACAUAAAUGUACAUCUUAUUUUCUUUCAUGAGGAGAAAAGUUGAUUGUUUUGUGUCUCAGCUUUGUCUUUUCCUUAGCCUCUCAUGUCUAAUAGAUUCAUGUAUUCUGCUGGAACAGGAGUUCAGAGGGAAUGUCCUCUUGUGCUCCAGUCUGUUUCUGUUUUAUUGCUGUGUCAUUUUUCAUUGUUCACUUCUUCAUAUCUCUUAACAUGUUAUAUAUUUGUAGCAUAUCAUAUUCUUUCAAAGUUCGAGGCAUCUUUUAAGAAAAUACAUAAUGAAAUAGAAAAUAAACAUCAUAAUCCUUGAAAAUGUAUACUAGAAUAACAGGUAAAGGACUGAGGGAAGCAGGAAUGCAGAUGCAUGCAUAUAAAAUCCUCCAUGGUAGAAAAUACUAAGUGAAAUGUCUUUCAUGAAAAAAAAAAAAAGAGCUGGAUUUAGCACUCUCAAGAAGAAAAAACCCCACCAAUUUAGUCAUAAAAAUAGCUAUAACAGUGUAUGCUAACCAUCAGAAAGAAGCUAUAUGUUGACGCCAAAGAUUGGAGUCCUUUUUUUCAAAAUGAUCAUUGGUAGUACUUAAGUCCUCCAGCCACAUCCUGUGAAGUGAAAUUUGCUACAAGUCACAAUUUCACAGUUUUUCUGUUCCAAGAAAAAAAAAAUACUAGCAUCUGGGAGGCUGCCAAUUUCAGAACUUUUCUGUGAAGUGCAAGGGAGGGAAAUCAGCCUCAGAAUCACCCCUCCUCUUCCAGAGAUUAGACCAGGAGCAUCCCACAUUGCAGAGCUGGCUGGAAGGCACUGGUGUGUUCCUACCAGCAGCAGGUCCAACCCAUUGUUUUUAACACUGACAUGGUCCCUAGAAGAAAAAAGUGCUCAAGAAAUUGAUGAAUGUUAAAUGAUGAGGCAUUGGUGUUCAUAGGCAAGAAAUUCAAGAGGCCAAAAAAGAUUGGAGUCUCUAAUAGUAAGCAACAAGUUAGCAGAAAGGAUAAUGAAAGUGGGGGAGUUUUCUGCUUGGCCUAGAAGGCAUUAGAGAUUAAUAGAUCAUCCUGGAUGAAAAGGCAAGAAAACAUGAGUUUUCAUGUUUAACAAUAAAUAUGGAAAGAAAGACAAUUGUAGUAAAAUAGAUAUUUUAAACUAAUGAUUUAACCUUUAGAGUGUGACAGUCAUUUAUUGUGUGACAUGUAUUGAAAUGUCAUGAUUUUAACAGGCUGUUCAUUUAAAUCAUUACCAUGCAGUUUACGUUGACAUUAGUAGUUAAUGUAUACUGCUAAAUUUAAGGAUACAGCAGUAGGUUUUGCAUUUUGUUUGUGUAUUUAAAUUUUGUUUCUGAGAUGUACACAAGUUUCUGCCACCAGGGUGAGCUUAAAAACACAAACACAAGUAGUAAAGAUAAAAGAUAAAUGAGAGACUAGACUUAAGUCAAUUUAUCUUUCUUUUUUCCUCCAUCUGGAGCAAGUAAUUUGCAACACAAAAAAUCAUCAGCAUGUCAUGAGAUAAGAUAUGAACUUAAAUGGGAACACUUUAUGCCUCAGUAGAAAUAAAUGUACUGAGUUUAUAAAGGAAAUACAAUAGGAAGUUGUUUUGUAUUGUAUAUUACAACACAAGAGCUAUUAGAUCAGCAAUCAUAUAUAAAGGACUACUGUGACACUAUUUUAUUGAAGAUCUGAGAUUUUAUGAUUUAUUAUGGCUAAAAACUGUACAUGUGAUAAAAUUUUAUCAAAUAUUCCCUCCUGUUUCUCUUCUAAAUACCAGGAGGAUAAGAAUUUCUUCUAAAACUUGGAGUCCCCAGUUUUUCAAAUGUCCCUUAUUUUUGGGGGCCUGUUAUAGUCACAUAAGUCAUGCCUGGUGGUCUUCGUUCCACACACAUGGAACCAAAGAUCCAGACUGCUACCAUUAAGGUUGUUCUUACCCUUUUAGUAUUUUAUGAUGAAAGUAAGAUACUCUUGUUUGUUUUUUUGUUUGUUUUUAACUUAAAAGCCUAGAAGCAACUGAAGUAAAUGGUAAAAAUUUGCUUCAUUCUUAUACCUUCCCCUACCAUGACCAUGCCUUCCACUUCUAGAAGCACACACACACACACACACAUACAAUGUAUAAGAGAAGUCUUGAAUAAAAUACAAACUGUGAAUACAAGUGUAUGUAUGCAUGUGCAUGUGUGUGUAAAUAUGCACACACAUUUGGUUUUGCUUUGCUUUAACGUAAAUGAGCAUGCAUUACACAUUCUUCUGUGACUUAAGUUUUCUUCCCUUAACAGGAUUGUAAAACUGUGUGUUUCUAUGUGAGUAUAUAAAGAUGUGCUUCCUCCUUUUUAAUGGCUGAGUACUAUCCAUUAUUUUGAAAUUUUAUAUAUAAACAUUAUAAGUAGAUAUUUUAGGUUUUUCUCCAAGUUUUCCCUUUGACAUACAAUGGUAAAGAUUUUUUCUGCAUAUCUGAGAGUUUCUGUCAAGUAGAUGCUUCUAAGUACAUACAACUGCUGGGCAAUAGUAUGUGUGCGUGCAUGUAUGUGUAUGUGUUUUCAAUGGACCUUUAUUUUAUUUAUUUAUAUGUGGUGCUGAGAAUUGAACCCAGUUCCUCAGACAUGCUAGGCAAGUGUUCUACCAGUGAGCUAUAGCCCCAGCUCAGUGUCUGUAUUUUUAUGUUGGUAGUCAGUUUGCCCAUCAAAAAUGCUUAAUGAUCUAUACCCCUACUGAUACAAACUAUUAUUCCAAUUUGUGCUUUCUAUGUUACCAGAGUACAAAAAUAUAUAAAUCUUUCUGGAAUAGUGGUACACACAUAUAAUCCCAGCUACUCAAGAGGCUAAGGCUGGAGGAUCACAAGUUCAAGGAAAACCUUGGCAACUUGGCCAGACUCUGUCUCAAAAUAAAAAAUGAAGAAGGACUGGGGAUAUAGCUCAGUGAUAGAAGUCUGUGAGUUCAAUCUCUCUCUCUCUCUCUCUCUCUCUCUCUCUCUCUCUGUCUGUCUCUCUCAAUCUCUCUCUCUCUCUCUCUCUCUCUCUCUCUCUCUCACACACACACACACACACACAUAUACACACACAGAAUAUAAGUCUUGAUAAAUACUUGAAGUUUUAAUGUUAUUAAACUUUUAAAAAAUCAGUUGUUUCAAGUUUCCCUAUAUCAUUAGGUUUGUGGACAGAUAAAACAGAAUAAAAUAAUUUAAAGAAAUCAUUAAAUAUUCAUUUAAUUUUAACAUUCCAUGAAAACUUCAACAUAACCCAGACCACUCUGUUAUUUUAUCAGCUCUUAUGAAGACUAGAAAUCAACCAUAUCUUAGAAUUCAAUAAAAUUGUCAUAAUGUUUCUUUAAUUUUUUUUAAUUCUGGCUCAGAAGAAUCAAAUAUAUUUUUCUAUCAAUAAAAAAAGCAGUAGCCACUAGGCAUGGUGCACACAUGCCUGUAAUCCCAGUGGAUCAGGAGGCUGAGGCAGGAGAAUUGUGAGUUCAAAGCCAGCCUCAGCAAAAGCGAGGCAGUGAGCAACUCAUUGAGACCCUGUCUCUAAAUAAAAUACAAAAUAGAACUAGGGAUGUGGCUCAAUGGUCAAGUGCCCCUGAGUUCAGUCCCCAGUGCCCCCAAAAAUAGCAAUAGCCACUAUCAAAACAAGCAGAAAUCAAACUUCUUAAUUAUCAUCAUUGGAGGUAAUUAGAGCACAACAUCUCACUAUCUCACUCCAGAGGUUCCCAAACUUUUUGGUACCUUAAAACCUUAGAGUUGCCAGUGAAGUUGUUUUUCUUUUGGAGAGCGGGGGUCUAAGGAGGUGCUUGUGGCAAUACCAGGAAUUGAACCCAGGGGCACUUUAUCACCAACCACAUCCCCAGCCCUCUUUUUUUAUUAUUAUUUUGAGGCAGAGUCUGACUAAGUUGCUAAGAGCCUCCCUAAAUUGCUGCAACUGCUUUUGAACUUGAGGUUCUCCUGCCUCAACUCCCUAAGUCACUGGCAUGUGCCACCACACCCAGCACUAGUACAGCUAUUUAACCCUUGAUUCCCAGGCCUCACCCUACCCAAUUAAAUUCAAGAGUUUAGAGUGAAAACCAGGCAAAGAUAGUCUUUAAGUAGACCCCCAGGAUUAGGAUGCAAAUUUUGGAAACUACUGUCUUAUCCUAAAAACUAGUAAUUAAAAAAAAAAUUUAAGUUUACCUUAUCUGUCCUAGAUAGAUUGAUGUUAUGCCCCAUAACCAAAUAACUGUAUCUAUCACUAACCAUCUAAAACAUGCCAUAAAAACUCUUGCUGAUAAAUAUAGAAAGAAUAAUAAUAU